CUAGCCCAGUAGUCACCACUUUUUGUGCUGACAUGAAUUGUCAUUGAUAUGAGAGUCUAAACAGAACAUAUAAAAGGAUGCAAUCAGAACAGUCAAAAGAGUCUAAACAGAACAUAUAAAAGGAUGUAAACAGAACAGUCAAAAGAGUAUAAACAGAAUAUCCAAAAAGAUAGAAAAAGAACAGUCAAAAGAUCCAAACAGAACAUCUAAAGGAUGUAAAAAAAACAGUCAAAAAGGUCUUACCAGAAUGUCUAA
rnacentral:lncRNA from 1 species